AGUCAUUGGCAGUGGGUAUUGCGGCGGGCCCAGCCGGGGUUCUUGCGCCGAGAUGCUUCAAAGUCUUAUUAAAAAUGUUUGGAUCCCCAUGAAGCCCUACUAUACCCAGGUUUACCAGGAGAUUUGGUUAGGAUUGGGGUUGAUGACUGUCAUCAUUUAUAAAAUCAGGAGUGCUGAUAAAAGAAGUAAAGCUUUGAAAGCUUCCAGUCCUGAGCCUGCUCAUGGCCAUCAUUGACCAGCUGUACUUGGAGCGCACGUCCCAUGGAGCAUCAGUCUGUAAAUCUCAGCACGCUGUUAGAUGGGAACGUGGAGCGCUGCCAUACACUUGUAGACGUGUUGUGUCCCCGUGGCAUGAAUAAAUGUACCUGAGGUGC